rnacentral:rRNA from 1 species
UACGUAGGUGGCAAGCGUUGUCCGGAUUUACUGGGCGUAAAGGGCGUGCAGGCGGUUUGUUAAGUGCAGGGUGAAAGCUCCCGGCUCAACUGGGAGAGGUCCUUGCAUACUGGCAAACUCGAGGGAGGCAGAGGAAAGUGGAAUUCCCGGUGUAGUGGUGAUAUGCGUAGAUAUCGGGAGGAACACCUGUGGCGAAGGCGGCUUUCUGGGCCUUACCUGACGCUGAGAAGCGAAAGCAUGGGGAGCGAACAGG